CCUACGGGAGACAGCAGUGAGGAAUAUUGGUCAAUGGACGCAAGUCUGAACCAGCCAUGCCGCGUGCAGGAAGACGGCUCUAUGAGUUGUAAACUGCUUUUGUACGAGGGAAAACGCAGAUACGCGUAUCUGUCUGAAAGGAUCGUACGAGUAAGGAUCGGCUAACUCCGUGCCAGCAGCCGCGGUAAGACGGAGGAUUCAAGCGUUAUCCGGAUUUAUUGGGUGUAAAGGGUGCGCAGGCGGUCGGAUAAGUUAGAGGUGAAAUCCCGAGGCUCAACUUCGGAAUUGCAUCUGAUACUGGCCGGCUAGAGAGUAGUAGCGGUAGGCAGAAU
rnacentral:rRNA from 1 species